CGACUGUCGGACGUCUAGUCCGCAGCAUGGUCGUCUAUAAAAUUCGCUCGCCGUAUGCCAAUGUCGUGAGCAAGGGGAUGCAGAGGUGAAACAAAGUCGGACCAGUUUACACGCGCGCACGCGAUCGCUAGGAGAUAUUUGCGCAUCAGGGAAGCAGCAGCAGCGGACGCGUCGGCGGAAGGUUUACAGCAUCCGUCAACAACAAAUACACACGCGGAGUACAUUCGUCGAUUCGCUCGAAAGUUAAAAGAUCAUCUUAGCAGACGGCGUAAGGACAUCGCGUGAGAUGAAAGCAAUCAGCCUACUUGUCCUGGCCGUCGUGCUGUGCAGUUUGUGUUCGGUACAUGGCCAGUCGCGGAGAGCUACUCGAUUACUC